rnacentral:sRNA from 1 species
GCAUAGGAUUUCUAUUAAAAUAUCUUCUGGUAACAUUGUGUAGAUAUAUAAUAACAUUGUUUUAAUUUAUAUUUGAAUUUACAGUACUUUUAUUUCAUAAUGAUUAACAUAUACAUUUUUGUAUAUAAAAUAACUCUUUUAAGAUUGUUUUCGUUUGUAUUAAAGGUUUUAAUUGCUUCCUUUUAUAUAUAUAUAUUUUUGCACUUUCCAAAAUCAUUGGAGAGAGAGAGAGAGAGAAAGAGAGGAUUUAAUCAUUUUGAUUUGGUAUUUUUUCUAGCUGUAAAGUGGUAAAUAAAACAUGUUACUC